GUCCAGUUACACAACGGAAGCAGAAAGGCUUUCGUGUUGGGUUUAAUGGAACAUAUUACCCUGUAGGUUUAUGAAUGCCAUGUUCUACUCUUUCUUUUUUAUAUCUUUAUAUGAUUCUUUCCCUGAGAUGUGCUAAAUUGCUUGAUACAUAGCGGAGAGGAGGUAUAUUUCAUCCAUAACCAUCUAAGCUUCAGAGUCAUGUAUCAUAAGAAUCCCCGAACUGAUUCUGCUCAAAUUGCUGGCUUUGAGGUUGAUCCCUACAGAAUACGAGGGUCCUUGGAAUGAGAAAAACCCUCAGUUAUUAACGUGCAACCCAAGAACCAAUGGUAUACAUCAAGCUUUCGCUAUUCCACAACGCAUCGGAACUUUAAGCAGAAGUCAUUUUCACAUUCGAAGUCUCGUUUUAUGAGUUGGAUGACAAGCCACGCAUCCGGAGUGUCUUGUAUCGGGGCCCCGAGUUGAUUAUUUAGACCCAUUGGUUCUCUACUCUGAAGCAUGCUUGCCAUGACUAUGGUGACAAUAAUGUGUGUUUUGGUGAAUUAGGUGUUGUUGCUACAUUUACAUUUUACCAGGAAUGAAAGAGAUGUGGGGAUUAGACAAAAAAUUGAAUCAUAAUCCAAUUUUAGGCAGAAGCAUUUUGUGUUAAGGUACAUAAAAAAAGUAACUUAAAACUUCAGAAGUAAUUUAUUGUUUUCUUCUUUGUGUUUUCC